GUGCCACAUUCCUUGCCGACAUCAGAAGCAGCUGGGCCCGAUAAAGACCUCUGGGAUUCUGAUAUUUGGGGAUCACGUCCACGGAAGAGCAGGAAUUGAGACUUGAUUGCUCUGUCCACUCCAGAAACGGGACUAGAAUUGCCGCAAUCUCAUCAGAAAAUGCAGCUUCCGGUGGUAUUUUUCACCAGGAACAGAAGCAGAAGUGUGCAGAAUCACCCGAGAAAGCCCCAGCUCUCCUGAGAGCCGUUCUCGAAUUUUGCUGGCACAGAGCACUGGGAGGUGAAUUGCAAUGUCAGCACCUGGAAAUUGGGACUCAGACUCCUUACUCUCUUCUCACAAGGUGUCUCUGCCUCCAUCGUUUCUGCACGUGCUAAAGGCAGAAGAAGAGGCAGAGGCUGCUGCGUCUCCUGGCAGGCCGGCCGGUUGGAACAAAGACACCAGCGGGGCCACCUCGGAAAGCAAUCUGGAGAAGUCCCAGCAAACAGCAUUUAGGGGAAGGGGAAAAACUCCUGUGGACCUGAUAAUGCAUCACGUCCCAUUGUUAAGGAGGCAAAAAGCAGAAAUUUACCUUGAAGGCUCAUGGGAGUUUGAUUUCCCUGGAAAGACAUGACCCACAUUUCUCACGGAUUGUGGGUCAAUAUUUGACCAUCUCCUCUUAUUUUCUCAUCUUCGUGUUUAAGAUUUAAAAUACAAGUACUAUGUAAUCUCUUUAAAAGAUUCAAACAGUAUAAAAUUAAGGUAGAGUCAAAGUUCCUCAUUCCUUUUGCUCACCCCCACUGGCUCAUUCACUAGAGAUAGCUAACAAUUACUUUUAACACUGUCAAACAUAUCCUUCCAGACGUGUUCGGUAAGUAUGCAAAUAUAUACAUUUGUGUCCAUAUAUUGUCAAAUAUAUGUAUGUGUCUAUAUAUACACACACAGACGUUCUCUGUUUUAAAUAUUCUACAGGAAUCAUAUUUAUAGACAAUAUUAUACAACUUGGUUUUUUUUUCCACUUAAAAUAUCUAUCAUGGGUAAUUAUCUGCGUCUAUGUGCAUUUUUAAAAACUUAGCUAUAAAGUUUGAGAAAAGUGUAAUUAUGCUCCCCAGGGAGGGGGGCAUUCAGACCAAAGGGCUUGUGGGGAAGGGCGAGGCUCCCCCCACCCCCACAGACAAUCACUGUUAGCAGUUUUUAGUGUAUCAUUCCAGAAAUAGUCUAUGCGCAGACCAGCAUAUAUGGAUAUCAAAUAUUCACACCUGUCUUUGUCUUUACCAAGUAUCUUUCACCUGGCGUGUUUCACUCAGGUCUCUUGGAGAGCACUUCACAUUAGAAAAAAUUGACCUUUUAAAUGAUGGUGUCGUACUUCUUUGAAUGGCGCUCCUUAAUGUAUUUCACUCGUCCUUUUAGAUGGACUUUGGGUGGAUUUCAGUUUUUGCUUCUACAAACAGUGCUGCAAU